rnacentral:ncRNA from 1 species
CAUAGGUUUGGUCCCAGCCUUUUUAUUAGUUUAUGAUAAAAUUACACAUGCAAGUAUCCGCCCUACGGUGAAAACGCCCUUUAGCCUUUACAAGUCAAAAGGAGCUGGUAUCAAGCACGCCAAUUUAAGGCAGCUAGUGACACCUUGCUUACGCCACACCCCCACGGGAGACAGCAGUGAUAAAAAUUAAACCAUUAACGAAAGUUAGAUUUAGUUAUAUCAUUUAUGGGUUGGUAAAUCUCGUGCCAGCCACCGCGGUCAUACGAUUAACCCUAAUUAAUAAAAAACCGGCGUAAAAAGUGUCAAAGUGUAUUUAAAUCAAAUAAAAUUAAGCCCUAAUCAAGCUGUAAAAAGCCUCGAUUAUAGUAAAAAUAAACUAUGAAAAUAAUUUUAAUAAAACCCACACACGAUAGCUAAGAUCCAAACUGGGAUUAGAUACCCCACUAUGCUUAGCCUUAAACCUAAAUAAUUAAUUAAACAAAAUUAUUCGCCAGAGUACUACUAGCAAUAGCUUGAAACUCAAAGGACUUGGCGGUGCUUCAUAUCCCUCUAGAGGAGCCUGUCCUAUAAACGAUAAACCCCGAUAAACCUCACCAAUCCUAGCUAAUGCAGCCUAUAUACCGCCAUCCUCAGCAAACCCUAAUAAAGGAACCAUAGUAAGCAAGAUCAUUGAAACAUAAAAACGUUAGGUCAAGGUGUAGCUUAUGGAUUGGGAAGAGAUGGGCUACAUUUUCUAAAACAGAAUAAGACGAAUACCCUUAUGAAAAUAAGGGUUAAAGGAGGAUUUAGUAGUAAGACAAGAAUAGAGAGCUUGACUGAAUUAGGCCCUGAAGCACGCACACACCGCCCGUCACCCUCUUCAAAUUUCCAAAAAACAGUAAAUAUAUUAAUGAAUAACAAGAAUGAGAAGAGAUAAGUCGUAACAAGGUAAGCAUACUGGAAGGUGUGCUUGGAUAAUC